rnacentral:sRNA from 1 species
AUGGCUGCUCUUUCUUGCCUGUUGGUCUGAGAUGCCUCCGAGCUGCUCAAAGGGACUUCUUUGGCCUGGGAAUUCUGACUCUUCUUAAAGUCACUGGAAGGACUGAGCGCAUUCAGGAGCCUGGAGGAACUCAUCUUGGACAACAAUCAGCUGGGGGACGACCUCGUGUUGCCAGGGUUACCCAGACUGCAUACCUUAACCCUCAACAAGAACCGAAU